rnacentral:rRNA from 1 species
AUUGAACGCUGGCGGCAUGCCUUACACAUGCAAGUCGAACGGUAACAGGUCUUCGGAUGCUGACGAGUGGCGAACGGGUGAGUAAUACAUCGGAACGUGCCCGAUCGUGGGGGAUAACGGAGCGAAAGCUUUGCUAAUACCGCACACGAUCUACGGAUGAAAGCAGGGGACCGCAAGGCCUUGCGCGGACGGAGCGGCCGAUGGCAGAUUAGGUAGUUGGUGGGAUAAAAGCUUACCAAGCCGACGAUCUGUAGCUGGUCUGAGAGGACGACCAGCCACACUGGGACUGAGACACGGCCCAGACUCCUACGGGAGGCAGCAGGGGGGAAUUUUGGACAAUGGGCGCAAGCCUGAUCCAGCCAUGCCGCGUGCAGGAUGAAGGCCUUCGGGUUGUAAACUGCUUUUGUACGGAACGAAAAGACUCUGGUUAAUACCUGGGGUCCAUGACGGUACCGUAAGAAUAAGCACCGGCUAACUACGUGCCAGCCGCCGCCGUAAUAC